rnacentral:rRNA from 1 species
ACUCCUACGGGAGGCAGCAGUAGGGAAUCUUCGGCAAUGGACGAAAGUCUGACCGAGCAACGCCGCGUGAGUGAAGAAGGUUUUCGGAUCGUAAAAACUCUGUUGGUAGAGAAGAACGUUGGUGAGAGUGGAAAGCUCAUCAAGUGACGGUAACUACCCAGAAAGGGACGGCUAACUACGUGCCAGCAGCCGCGGUAAUACGUAGGUCCCGAGCGUUGUCCGGAUUUAUUGGGCGUAAAGCGAGCGCAGGUGGUUUCUUAAGUCUGAUGUAAAAGGCAGUGGCUCAACCAUUGUGUGCAUUGGAAACUGGGAGACUUGAGUGCAGGAGAGGAGAGUGGAAUUCCAUGUGUAGCGGUGAAAUGCGUAGAUAUAUGGAGGAACACCGGAGGCGAAAGCGGCUCUCUGGCCUGUAACUGACACUGAGGCUCGAAAGCGUGGGGAGCAAACAGGAUUAGAUACCCUGGUAGGAUAGCG